AAUUAUGGCUCCUGUCAUUUCCACCAAAUGAGCAAUAAUUGCAGAAAGAGGACUGAGUUUGGUGGCAAAAGCACUGGAAUAUCCGUGAGGAGACUUAGGUUUGAGUUUCAACUCUGCCACCAGGCUUCCGGGCUUUGGGAACCUUUGAGGAUGUUGAACUUAAAAUCUUGGAGUUCCCAUUGUGGCUCAGCGGAAACAAACUUGACUAACAUCCAUGAGGAUUCGAGUUCGAAGCCUGACCCGGCUCAGUGGGUUAAGGAUCCAGCGUUGCUGUGAGCUGUGGUGUAGGUUCCAGAUGCAGCUCGGAUCUGGCGUUGCUGCGGUUGUGGCGUAGGCCAGCGGCUGCAGCUCCAAUUUGACCCAUAGCCCAAGAACUUUCCAUAUGCUGCACCUUCGGCCCUAAAAAUAAAACCUUCUGAUUCUAGGGUCCCUAGCCCCCGAUGAUGUCCCUGACAGUGAAUGAAUAGGAUCCCUUGUUGCUGAGGAUGGUGGAACUCAGGUACGGCUGGAGUCAGAAGCCUAAGUGUUAUCACCAGCCUCCAGCUUCUCCUCAGCUCUCCUUUCUCCAUGGUCUCCAUUUUUCACAGUCCCUCCCUUGUGGGCUUGUGAUGGUUCCAGCAGCUGCAAGGAACAUAUCCUUCCAGGUUCCCAUCCUGGCUGUGGGCGGCAGGGCUCCGAUUUUUCUUUUUUCUUUUUUGCUUUUUAGGGCCGCACCCACGGCAUAUGGCGGUUCCCAGGCUAGGGGUUGAUUCAGAGCUCCAGCUGCCGGCCUGUUGUAGAAUAUCCCAGAACCUUCAGCAGAAGCCCUACACUUACUCUGAUGGUCCUAGUUUAGGUCACAAGACUCCCCUGACUGGUCACUGGCCCGGAGAAUGCCAUGGCUAAAUGACUUAGGACCGGGUCAUAUGCUCCACUCUGAGGGACUGGAAACAGGGAAGGCACCCGGGGAAAAUUAGGGGCUCUUGUUGGUAGAAGGGAGGGCGGCUGUCGCGAUGCAUUUAUUCCCCACUUACUGUGUGCUGCACUCAUGAAUUCAUUGAGUCUCACAACACUCUUGUCCGUAAGGUGUGAGGAACCCCUCUGGUAGAGAAGGUAACAGGUUCAGGAAGGUGAAGUGAUUUGCCUAAGGUCCCUCAGCAAAUCCCAGAGUUACUUAUGGAAGUGCCACCUACCCAGGAGUGAGGGAGGGGGAGGGAGACCAUGUACUCAUUAAAAGUUGGUGCAAAAGGGAAACCCAACGAGGCAAACCAAAAGAGAAAUCCUACGGAGAGCAAAUUCUGCUUGGCACAGGGACUCUUGCUAGAACUUUUGGGAAUAAGGUUCUUUCUCUCUUCCGGGACCCCUCGACAAGGAGGAUGUGGGCCGGGAGAGAACCUUAUGAAGGGGCACCUGUGCGGGAGAAGGGAGCAUGGAGGUGAGCAGUACCAGGAAGGGGGAGAAAAGUUUGCGAGAACCUGGGUUGAGGUCCUGGAUCCACUGGUUCCUGACGCAGGCUCCACCUGUCAACUGUGCAGUUACACGAGGUAAUUAACACCCUUGGUUCACUUGGCUCAGCUCCAGCUGGGUUUCUGUCAUUUGCAAAUGAAAGGGCCCUGACUCAUCCAGACAGGAUGCUGUGGAGCUUCGACCUUCAACAAGGCCCGCCUUCGGGCACUGACAUAGGCCACGCAAGGUGCCACACACUUCACAGAUGUUUGGUGGUUACUGUGCCUCUGAGUAUGUUCUUCUCUUUAUCACCCGUUUGCAAGUGAGGAGACUAAGGCUCGGGGAAGGCAGGUGGCCAGAUCAGGCAGGGACUGGCUCUCCCUCCCUGAGUGGUCCAAGCAACCCUUUUUCCUGAGUACCACCUUCUAUGCCCACCAUGACCCCCCCCAUCCAGGCCUCUUUGUCCUCCUCUGUCACUAAGCGGGGGCGAGUCGCUGAGGCCGUUCAGAGCACACUCCUGUGCCAGACUUCAGACUGGGGCUGUUGGCUCUGGAGCUCUGGACAGCUGGGCCUGAGCCAGGUCCCUCUUCUCUGGGAUAUGUGAGCUACGUGAGCCCGAGGGGUGGAUACUGUGGGCAUCUGUGGCCCUAUGGGGUUAAGAGCCCCAGACAUGGGGACUCUGCUCUCCUCCCCCGGGCCCCCUCCUGCCUCCAUGCUCGGGUCCUCGUCCCUGUCUGCCUCCUCAUGCACCUUGCUUGGCUGGGCCUUUGAGUGUUUCUCACCCUCUCCCAGCCGGCUCUCAGUCUUGCCACUUGUCUUUCUGUUUCUGGGUUCCUGACAGCACCCCACACCCCGCUCUGACUCCAGCCCCCUCUCUCCCCGUCCCACUUGCCACUUUCAUUUUUGCCUCCGUCUCAGUCUCUGGGUCUCUCCCUCCCCGUCUCCCCUUGUCUCUGUGUGUCCCAGGGUCACCGCCCCCUUUCUGACUCUGCCUCCGUUUCUGUCAGCCUCAACCUGGGUCUCAGUCUCUUAGAAGCUCUAUCUCUCAUCUGUCUCUCUGUCUCUGGGUGUCUCUGUCACCUCUGUGGCCCUCUGUCUCUCUGUGACCUCUCUCUCUCUCUCACGUUCUCUGUCUCCCUCCUCCUCCUCUCCCUGCCCCUCCCUCCCCACAUCCUGAGUUGUCUUUGGGGAACCGGAAAUUUGGGGGAUCAGAGAGAUACCGGGAGGCUCAGCUGCUGCCGCCUAGAGAUAAUGCGGGGGGUGCUGGGGCUGGAUGGGGGUGGGGGAGCCCACAGUCCACUGCACCCUCCUCCCCGCCCGGUUGCACGCAGAGACAGACAGGAAUUAUGUCACCCCUUUGGGGGCUCAGUCCUGCCCUCUGUGGCCUGGGCCUGAUGGACCCACCGCCCUCUUUUGGUUGGCGUGAGAAUGAAAUUAAGAAGCCCGGCCGAAGCCAAGCGGGGCUCAGGAACAUUGGCGAGCAGGGAGGGCCUGCGCCUGGAUAAUCCAAGGGUUCGACUGGCUGUGGCUGGUGAUGGCCUGAGGGAAGGGAGGCGCCCCGUUGCUCUGAGCCUGUCCUUUCCUCUCCCUGUACCUCGGGGGUCCCGCUGGUACCGUGAGAGUGGCCUUGGCCUUAUGUGUUUAACAGACGUUUGGCAGCGUGUACUCUGUCACAGGUCCUGUCUGCUAUUCGUUGCUUUGAUCCUUACGACACCCCUAGGAGGUAGGUUCUGUUAUUCACUCUUUAUGUAGAGAUGGGAGGAACCCAGAUACAGAGAAGUCAAGUGACCUGCCCAAGGUCACACAGCUGAAACCCUCGCCAUGACAGGACUCUGGCUGAAUUAGAUUGGUCAUUGCUAGUGUCUGGGUGCAUUGUAUAUAUGCCCAUUUUUUUGUUUUGUUUGUCUUUUUCUUUUUUAGGGCCACUCCUGUGGCAUAGGGAAGUUCCCAGGCUAGAGGUCCAAUUGGAGCUGUAGCUAGCAGCUGCAGCUCUAAUUCGAUCCCUAGUCUGGGAAUGUCUGCCCACAUGCCGCAGGUGCCGCCCUAAAAAGCAAAAAAGUAAAAAAAUAAAUAACCAAAGCAGCAUGAUUCACCUUAAAUCCUGGAGAGCUGGAGUUCCCUGGUAGCCUA
rnacentral:lncRNA from 1 species